UAAUCAGCUGGUGCACAUAUUGCUGCUUGUACUCUUCUAGAGCAGGCAAUCAAGGAGGCUGGUGAAGGAGCAAGCAUUACUUGGAGUCUGUCCCAGAUUAAGGCUUAUUUUGGACUUUCUGGAGGGUACAAUUUGUUAAAACUCGUAGAUUAUUUCCACAGUCGUGGUUUAUAUCGUUCUGUCUUCUUAAGCAUAAUGGAAGGAGAAGAAUCCUUACGAAGAUUUUCACCUGAAGUAAUUGUAAAGGACCCCAGUGUGAAAAAUGUGGUUUCUCUGCUACCUCCUAUUGUUCUUUUUCAUGGUACUGCAGAUUACUCUAUUCCAGCAGACGCCAGGAUUGUUGAGGCAUGGUGU